CGAACGCUGGCGGCAUGCCUAACACAUGCAAGUCGAACGAGACCUUCGGGUCUAGUGGCGCACGGGUGCGUAACGCGUGGGAACCUGCCCUUAGGUUCGGAAUAACUCCCCGAAAGGGGUGCUAAUACCGGAUAAUGUCUUCGGACCAAAGAUUUAUCGCCUUUGGAUGGGCCCGCGUUGGAUUAGCUAGUUGGUAGGGUAAAAGCCUACCAAGGCGACGAUCCAUAGCUGGUCUGAGAGGAUGAUCAGCCACACUGGGAUUGAGACACGGCCCAGACUCCUACGGGAGGCAGCAGUGGGGAAUAUUGGACAAUGGGCGAAAGCCUGAUCCAGCAAUGCCGCGUGAGUGAUGAAGGCCUUAGGGUUGUAAAGCUCUUUUACCCGGGAUGAUAAUGACAGUACCGGGAGAAUAAGCUCCGGCUAACUCCGUG
rnacentral:rRNA from 1 species